GAGUUUGAUCCUGGAAGUCAGUAACGGCCGGGUGUCAUAACACGUGGGCAACCUGCCUGUAAGACUGGGAUAACUCCGGGAAACCGGGGCUAAUACCGGAUAACUCUUUUCCUCACAUGAGGAAAAGCUGAAAGAUGGUUUCGGCUAUCACUUACAGAUGGGCCCGCGGCGCAUUAGCUAGUUGGUGAGGUAACGGCUCACCAAGGCCACGGAUGCGUAGCCGACCUGAGAGGGUGAUCGGCCACACUGGGACUGAGACACGGCCCAGACUCCUACGGGAGGCAGCAGUAGGGAAUCUUCCGCAAUGGACGAAAGUCUGACGGAGCAACGCCGCGUGAGUGAUGAAGGUUUUCGGAUCGUAAAACUCUGUUGUCAGGGAAGAACAAGUACCGGAGUAACUGCCGGUACCUUGACGGUACCUGACCAGAAAGCCACGGCUAACUACGUGCCAGCAGCCGCGGUAAUACGUAGGUGGCAAGCGUUGUCCGGAAUUAUUGGGCGUAAAGCGCGCGCAGGCGGUUCCUUAAGUCUGAUGUGAAAGCCCCCGGCUCAACCGGGGAGGGUCAUUGGAAACUGGGGGAACUUGAGUGCAGAAGAGAAGAGUGGAAUUCCACGUGUAGCGGUGAAAUGCGUAGAGAUGUGGAGGAACACCAGUGGCGAAGGCGACUCUUUGGUCUGUAACUGACGCUGAGGCGCGAAAGCGUGGGGGAGCAACAGGAUUAGAUACCCUGGUAGUCCACGCCGUAAACGAUGAGUGCUAAGUGUUAGAGGGUUUCCGCCCUUUAGUGCUGCAGCAACGCAUUAAGCACUCCGCCUGGGGAGUACGGCCGCAGGGCUGAAACUCAAGGAAUUGACGGGGCCCGCACAAGCGGUGGAAGCAUGUGGUUUAAUUCCAAAGCAACGCGAAGAACCUUACCAGGUCUUGGACAUUCUUCCUGACAACCCUAGAAGAUAGGCCGUUUCCCCCUUUCCGAGGGAACAGGAUGAACAGGGAGGUGCAAUGGUUGUUCCGUCCACCUCGCGGUCGAGAAGAUGUUGGAGUUAGGUCCCCGCCAACCGACCGCAACCAUUGAAAUCUUUAGUUAGCCAAGCUUCAAUUGGGGCCACCUCUUAGGAACCUUGGCCCGGGUGACCAAACCGGAAGAAUGUUGGGGAAUGAACGACUCAAAUCCAU
rnacentral:rRNA from 1 species